UACGUAGGGACCAAGCGUUGUUCGGAUUUACUGGGCGUAAAGGGCGCGUAGGCGGCGUGGUAAGUCACUUGUGAAAUCUCUGAGCUUAACUCAGAACGGCCAAGUGAUACUGCUGUGGCUAGAGUGCAGAAGGGGCAAUCGGAAUUCUUGGUGUAGCGGUGAAAUGCGUAGAUAUCAAGAGGAACACCUGAGGUGAAGACGGGUUGCUGGGCUGACACUGACGCUGAUGCGCGAAAGCCAGGGGAGCAAACGGG
rnacentral:rRNA from 1 species